rnacentral:rRNA from 1 species
UACGGAGGGUGCAAGCGUUAUCCGGAUUCACUGGGUUUAAAGGGUGCGUAGGUGGGAAUGUAAGUCAGUGGUGAAAUCUCCGUGCUUAACAUGGAAACUGCCAUUGAUACUAUGUUUCUUGAAUCUUCCGGAGGUCAGCGGAAUAUGUCAUGUAGCGGUGAAAUGCUUAGAUAUGACAUAGAACACCAAUUGCGAAGGCAGCUGACUACGCGAAUAUUGACACUGAUGCACGAAAGCGUGGGGAUCAAACAGG